ACUCCUACGGGAGGCAGCAGUGGGGGAAUAUUGCACAAUGGGCGCAAGCCUGAUGCAGCCAUGCCGCGUGUAUGAAGAAGGCCUUCGGGUUGUAAAGUACUUUCAGCAGUGAGGAAGGUAGGUAGUGUUAAUAGCACUAUCAUUUGACGUUAGCUGCAGAAGAAGCACCGGCUAACUCCGUGCCAGCAGCCGCGGUAAUACGGAGGGUGCGAGCGUUAAUCGGAAUUACUGGGCGUAAAGCGCAUGCAGGUGGUUUGUUAAGUCAGAUGUGAAAGCCCGGGGCUCAACCUCGGAAUUGCAUUUGAAACUGGCAGACUAGAGUACUGUAGAGGGGGGUGAAUUUCAGGUGUAGCGGUGAAAAUGCGUAGAGAUCUGAAGGAAUACCGGUGGCGAAGGCGGACCCCCUGGACAGAUACUGACACUCAGAUGCGAAAGCGUGGGGAGC
rnacentral:rRNA from 1 species